CCUACGGGAGGCAGCAGUGGGGAAUAUUGCACAAUGGGCGCAAGCCUGAUGCAGCGACGCCGCGUGAGGGAUGACGGCCUUCGGGUUGUAAACCUCUUUCAGUAGGGAAGAAGCGAAAGUGACGGUACCUGCAGAAGAAGCGCCGGCUAACUACGUGCCAGCAGCCGCGGUAAUACGUAGGGCGCAAGCGUUAUCCGGAAUUAUUGGGCGUAAAGAGCUCGUAGGCGGUUUGUCGCGUCUGCCGUGAAAGUCCGGGGCUCAACUCCGGAUCUGCGGUGGGUACGGGCAGACUAGAGUGAUGUAGGGGAGACUGGAAUUCCUGGUGUAGCGGUGAAAUGCGCAGAUAUCAGGAGGAACACCGAUGGCGAAGGCAGGUCUCUGGGCAUUAACUGACGCUGAGGAGCGAAAGCAUGGGGAGCGAACAGGAUUAGAUACCCUGGUAGUCCAUGCCGUAAACGUUGGGCACUAGGUGUGGGGGACAUUCCACGUUUUCCGCGCCGUAGCUAACGCAUUAAGUGCCCCGCCUGGGGNGGUACGCGCGAGACGAACACAAGAGUAGUAGCGNGNGAGACGCGACGACGACGACGACGGAGGAGG
rnacentral:rRNA from 1 species